rnacentral:rRNA from 1 species
AUUCCAGCUCCAAUAGCGUAUAUCAAAAUGGUUGCGGUACAACAACUCGUAAUUGGAUUUCUGCUGAAGACCACCGGUCCGCCCUCUGGGUGAAUAUCUGGCUUGGCCUUGGCAUCUUCUUGGAGAACGUAGCUGCACUUGACUGUAUGGAGGGUAUCCAAGACUUUUACUUUGAGGAAAUUAGAAUGUUUCAAGCAGGCACACGCCUUGAAUACAUCAGCAUGGAAUAAUAAGAUAGGACCUUGGUUCUAUUUUGUUGGUUUCUAAAGCUGAGGUAAUGAUUAAUACGGAUAGUUGGGGGCAUUCGUAUUUAACUGUCAGAGGUGGAUUUCUUAGAUGUGUUAAAGACGGACUACUGCGAAAGCAUUUGCCAAGGAUGUUUUCAUCG